GGGAAAGGAUGGUGCUUUAUACCUUCUUUUCUAAUUCUUACUUGGAUUAGACAUUGUCAGUCAUUCUGUAGCCUAAUUAAACCAGAAAAACCAGAGUCCUUUGCUUGAAGCUGUGUGUUGAUGAGGACUGAGCUGUCUGAAAGUAAACCAGUAAUUUUUUGAAUGCAUCUCAUCUGAAAAUUAAAUCCGCAGAGACCAGAGACCCUAACAAGACCAAAUUAAGUGAUUGUUAAUUGACAUUGUCAAUCUUAAAUACGGU